rnacentral:rRNA from 1 species
AACGAACGCUGGCGGCAUGCCUAACACAUGCAAGUCGAACGAUCCUUUCGGGGUUAGUGGCGGACGGGUGAGUAACACGUGGGAACGUGCCCUUAGGUUCGGAAUAACUCACGGAAAGUUGUGCUAAUACCGAAUGUGCUCUUCGGGGGAAAGAUUUAUCGCCUUUAGAGGGGCCCGCGUCUGAUUAGCUAGUUGGUUGGGGUAAUGGCUCACCAAGGCGACGAUCAGUAGCUGGUCUGAGAGGAUGAUCAUCCACAUUGGGACUGAGACACGGCCCAAACUCCUACGGGAGGCAGCAGUGGGGAAUAUUGCGCAAUGGGCGAAAGCCUGACGCAGCCAUGCCGCGUGAAUGAUGAAGGUCUUAGGAUUGUAAAAUUCUUUCACCGGGGACGAUAAUGACGGUACCCGGAGAAGAAGCCCCGGCUAACUUCGUG